AGAGUCGAGUUGUUUGGGAAUGCAGCUCUAAGUGGGUGGUAAAUUCCAUCUAAAGCUAAAUAUUGGCACGAGACCGAUAGCGAACAAGU
rnacentral:rRNA from 1 species